rnacentral:rRNA from 1 species
ACGCUCGACACCUACGGGAGACAGCAGUGGGGAAUAUUGCACAAUGGAGGAAACUCUGAUGCAGCGAUGCCGCGUGAGGGAAGAAGGUUUUCGGAUUGUAAACCUCUGUCUUUGGGGACGAUAAUGACGGUACCCAAGGAGGAAGCUCCGGCUAACUACGUGCCAACAGCCGCGGUAAUCUGAGCGGGCUGGCAAGGC